GCCGAAGUGGUGAAAUUGGUAGACACGCCACCUUGAGGGGGUGGUGAGCGUAUGCUCGUGGAGGUUCGAGUCCUCUCUUCGGCACCA
rnacentral:tRNA from 1 species